rnacentral:rRNA from 1 species
UACGUAGGUGGCAAGCGAUACUCGGAAUCACUAGGCGUAAAGCGCAGGUAGGCGGUUCGGUAAGUCUUUUGUGAAAGCUCCUGGCUCAACUGGGAGAGGUCAAGGGAAACUACCGGACUAGAGUGUGGUAGGGGAUACUGGAAUUCCUGGUGUAGCGGUGAAAUGCGUAGAUAUCGGGAGGAACACCUGUGGCGAAAGCGGCGCACUGGACCAUAACUGACGCUGAGGCGCGAAAGCUAGGGGAGCAAACAGG